GAAAACACAAUUCCGAAUUAUGAAAUCCGGAAUGCUCCGAGGGUAAUUUUGGAAAGAAAAAAAAUGUGUGCGAGGAAAGGCAUAGGGUGGGAAAAGUAAUGCUCCUGUAUAUAUAGGCAUAUGGGAGUAUAAUGGGCUUGGAGCCUUAGAUUGACCGAAACAAUUUACAUUCUUUGCCUUUAUCCACCAAAAGGAAUAAAGUUUAACUUUAUUCAACAUCUGAGGUAUGAAAUUCUCUGUAUUUUUUAAUAAUCUAUUAUUUCGUUAGAAACCAAAAUGAAUUAAAAUAUCAAUCUCAAGCGCAAGGUGUGUCAAAGAAAAAG
rnacentral:lncRNA from 1 species